rnacentral:rRNA from 1 species
AGUUUGAUCNUGGCUCAGAUUGAACGCUGGCGGCAGGCCUAACACAUGCAAGUCGAACGGUAGCACAGAGAGCUUGCUCUCGGGUGACGAGUGGCGGACGGGUGAGUAAUGUCUGGGAAACUGCCUGAUGGAGGGGGAUAACUACUGGAAACGGUAGCUAAUACCGCAUAACGUCGCAAGACCAAAGAGGGGGACCUUCGGGCCUCUUGCCAUCAGAUGUGCCCAGAUGGGAUUAGCUAGUAGGUGGGGUAACGGCUCACCUAGGCGACGAUCCCUAGCUGGUCUGAGAGGAUGACCAGCCACACUGGAACUGAGACACGGUCCAGACUCCUACGGGAGGCAGCAGUGGGGAAUAUUGCACAAUGGGCGCAAGCCUGAUGCAGCCAUGCCGCGUGUAUGAAGAAGGCCUUCGGGUUGUAAAGUACUUUCAGCGGGGAGGAAGGNANUAAGGUUAAUAACCUUGUUNAUUGACGUUACCCGCAGAAGAAGCACCGGCUAACUCCGUGCCAGCAGCCGCGGUAAUACGGAGGGUGCAAGCGUUAAUCGGAAUUACUGGGCGUAAAGCGCACGCAGGCGGUCUGUCAAGUCGGAUGUGAAAUCCCCGGGCUCAACCUGGGAACUGCAUUCGAAACUGGCAGGCUGGAGUCUUGUAGAGGGGGGUAGAAUUCCAGGUGUAGCGGUGAAAUGCGUAGAGAU